AAUAAAUUAGAAGAACAUAUCAAAGAUCCUAUAAAACACAAACUUUUGCCAUGGUGGAAGACAUGGACAUAUUGUAGAGGUUUGAUGAUAACUACGAGAAAUGAGACCACUUUUGGAUCAGUGUAUACCAUAGGAGUAAAGAAAGCUGACUAUAAAUUUUCAGAAUACUUGGCUUGCAUUGGAGAUACUGAUUUCAUCAAAUACUAUUUUAGUUAUAAACACUACAUUAAUACAAAACUGGAAAAUCGAUUUCUCGUUAACACAUUCUUACAUUUUAUUACGAAGCAUGCGAAGAAUCCUAUUAUACUGCAGUAUAUAUUCGAUAAUUUUAACGAAAUAAAACCAAAAAAUGUUAAUAUCAUUGCAGCAUUA